ACCUUGCCUUUGGCUGCUGUGCAAACUGCACCCCUGGAUCAUGCUAUCUCACUUUAUUCCUUUAGGAAAAUGUAGUAUUGAUGUUUGAUUCUGUUUUCAGUGGGAAUCUCCAAUGCUGAAUUCUUCUUGACUCUGUUUCAUUUUAUCUUUGUAGUAGUUAGCCAGAGUCAUACAUGCCUUACAUGGGGAAGACUCCCAGGGGCAGAACAGGCACUGGGCGCCAUCACCUGUGACCCCCAGGAGUUCUUCCACACACCAAACCCAGCCAUCUAAAGACUUUGCUUUCUACAGCACAGGCUGAAAUCAGUUUUCCUUUCCACAACUCAUCUUUGAAGUGAUUCUUGUUGGUUGUUUUCUGCAGUUAAAAAGGCUGUGUGUACCGGGAAACCCUGGGCAGUUUGUUUGUUAUGGUUUAAUAUUUAUUGAAAGCUCCUGACUUCGGGUGCUUUUAUUGACUGGAGGCCAGACGGUGAGAGUUGCCUGUCUUCAAAGACACCCUCUGCCUGUUUGUCGCUUUCUGUUAGCAGGAGGCUUUAUCGCCGUUUAUUGAACUGAAGAGCUUAAGUUGAUAUGGCUGAAAUGUGUCUUUUCUGUGUUUGUUAUUUUAUAUUUCUCUGCCUUGGGACCUGGCAGUUUUAAAUACCUAGCAGUUUUGCUUUUCUGUUUUCCUCCCCACUUACUUAGGCUGCUCGUGCUGACUGACUGGCCCACUGCAGAGAUGCACUUCAGUGUGGCGUGCCCCUGAACUUGACCUUUCCAGAAGGCCUGCGAGCGGAUGAAAACUGACAUCACUUUUUAUUAUAUCUCUGAUAUAAAGCAGUCUAGAGAUUUUUUUUUUCCCCAAAACAUAACGGGAAAGAAUGUAGUGUUUUCAGAAAUUUAGCUUCCUUUCUCACAGCAGAUUCCAUUUAAUUGUUUGUUUGUUUGUUUGGUUUUGGCAGUGCUAAGGAUGGGACCCAAAGCCACAUGCGUGUUGGGGUAGGGCUCUCCCACUAAGUUUUGUUCCUGGCCCCCAAGACAUUCUCUUUAAAUUGAGAGAAAAAAAGUCUCCUUAGGCAGAAUUUAUUCUUUAUAACUCCUCAUAAAAGUUACAUUUUAUUUAUGCAGUGGUUAUGAAGUGGGAGGUCCAUCUCCUGCUAUUCCUAAUUUACGUUGGUCUUGUUGGAUUCACUUUUGGGCAUCUGUUUAGUUUGGUGUGACCAAAGGUAAACUCUUUUUCCCCCCAGUUUAAAUGUGACUUUUUUAUGUGUAUUCUGUUCCAUAUUCAAAGAUGGCAACUAAAACUCCCAGAGAGCUAGGAGCACCAAAUAAGUCCACUUUGCUGAUCUCUAUGACAUGCAGUAGAUUCAACAUAUUAUAAAAUGAAUGUACACAAAAGUAGACAGUAUGGAACAUAUUUUAAAGUUAAAAUUGGAACUUUAUAAGUUUGUGUGUGUGUGUGUGUGUGUGUGUGUGUGUGUGUGUAAACAGUAUCUCUCUAUGCAGUCCUGGUUGUCCUGGAACUUACUAUGAAGAUCAGGUUGGCCUCGAACUCAGAGAGAUCAGCCUCUGCCUUUGCCUCUACCUCCCAAGUGUUGGGAUUAAAGACGUACCGCUACAGCCAGGCAUCUUAUUUUUAAAGUUAUGAAAGAGAAAUUUUGAUGGAAAAAAUCCACUAGCAAUAACUCUUGAAGUCCUAUUAAAGCGUUGGAAUGGAACAAACAUGAUUGACUAUGAACCAUAGGCUCCAGAAAUUAUCUGGGUGUGUAUAUGCAUAUAUUACAUACAUGUAUACUCUGAGGCACAUGCAACUGGGCGUGCAUGUAGAGGCCAGAAGUCAAUGUGUGGGUGUCUUUCUCUAUUACUUUCCACCUUAUUUUUUGAGAUUCUUACUGAAUCUGGAGGCCACUGGUUGUCUAGACUGGCUGGCCUGGGAGCACCUAGAAUCCUCCUGUCUCCGCUUCCUGGUGCUGGGAUUAUAGAUGCUUACCAUCGUUGCUUUUUAUUUGGGUCCUGGGGAUUUGAACUCAGUUCUUUGUACUUGCACACAGAAAUUUCCCACAUGGAACUAUCUCCCUAACCCAGUAAUGUGCUCUUCUUAAUACUUUGAUUUCUCUCUCUCUCUUUUUUUUUUUUUUUAAGAUUUAUUUAUUAUAUGUAAGUACACUGUGGCUGUCUUCAGACACACCAGAAGAGGGCAUCAGAUCUUGUUACGGGUGGUUGUGAGCCACCAUAUGGUUUGCUGGGAUUUGAACUCAUGACCUUCAGAAGAGCAGUCGGUGCUUUUACCCGUUGAGCCAUCUCACCAGCCCACUUUGAUUUCUCUUAAAAUUAUACAAAAUGCAUUUUUUCUGCUAGUGCUUAAUUAGUUUCAGACAGACUUCCAUUCAUCGUCACCGUCUUUAGCUUUUACCCAAACCUCAAGAACUCACUCCAGAGAUCUAUCUCAUCAUCCAAAAGUUUCCUAAUGAUUGUAUUCUUUAGCUUCUGAAACACUGUCACUGGGGCAAUCUCUCUCUUUCUGUUAUUUAUUUCCUAACAAGGAAACCCAAUCCAGAAUAGAGUUUUAACCAUCGCUGACCCUUGUAGGGAAGUGAAAGCCUAGGACCAUUAUUUCUUCUGCAGGAAGAAAUAAGUACCUUGGAUUCUCUAGGUGUGGUGUGGUGGUUGGUGGAUGCAAAUCCAGCACUUAGAAGGCAGAGGUGUGGGGGCUAUGAGUUGCUUUACAAAACAAGGCCAUGAAAAAAACAAAAUAAAACAAAAAAAGACAACAACA
rnacentral:lncRNA from 1 species